UCUUCCAGACUUCCUCCUGUCACGAUCGACUUCACUCCGAGCUUCUUCCAGACUUCGUCAAUGUCCGAGCUUCUCCAACAAUAGGACUUCUACAGUAACCAGACUCCAUCCAAGUUUCUACGGUGGUCGAUUGCCUUCUGAAUUUCAUCCGAGCUUCUAUAAUAAGUGGUCUCCAUCUGAGCUUCUACGACAACCAAUCUUCAUCCGAGAUUCUACAGUAAGCGAUCUACUUCGAACUUCUAUUGCAAGCAGACUUCAUCCGAGCUUCUACAGUAAGCAGUCCCCAUCCGGGCUUCCAUGGC
rnacentral:lncRNA from 1 species